rnacentral:misc_RNA from 1 species
AGAUGUAGCAGUUCGAAAAAAGCCGUGCAGCUAUUUUGGAGUUCUUAUGACUAAACAUAUCAAAUUUAACCUUAAAUCAAUUUUUAAUACCAUUUAGCUAACAUAUUUAAGCAGCUGAUUUUCUUAAUAACAGCUCUACCAACAAUUUCUUUUACAAAAAGGACAUAAGACAACAUUUAAAUCAGAUGGCAUAGCAAAUUAUAUUGCUCAAACAUGAUAGCAACAUACAUAUUCAACAAAAUUAGACAAAUGGAACUCAUGAAAUAGUGCAGAAUCACAACCAGUUGUAGCAAUAUGCAUUUUUUUCAGCCACUUCUAUCAAAUAACUAUUUAUGAAGAAAAAUGAAAUCACAAAGCAUGAAUAAGGAUUUUACCUCCUCAUUAAAGAUCCCACCA